rnacentral:rRNA from 1 species
AAAACCGAAGCGAACGCUGGCGGCAGGCCUAACACAUGCAAGUCGAGCGCCCAGCAAUGGGAGCGGCAGACGGGUGAGUAACACGUGGGGAUCUACCCAAUGGUACGGAAUAACCCAGGGAAACUUGGAUUAAUACCGUAUGUGCCCUUCGGGGGAAAGAUUUAUCGCCAUUGGAUGAACCCGCGUCGGAUUAGCUAGUUGGUGAGGUAAAGGCUCACCAAGGCGACGAUCCGUAGCUGGUCUGAGAGGAUGAUCAGCCACACUGGGACUGAGACACGGCCCAG